AUUGAACGCUGGCGGCAGGCCUAACACAUGCAAGUCGAGCGGAUGAAGGGAGCUUGCUCCUGGAUUCAGCGGCGGACGGGUGAGUAAUGCCUAGGAAUCUGCAUGGGAGUGGGGGAUAACGUCCGGAAACGGGCGCUAAUACCGCAUACGUCCUGAGGGAGAAAGUGGGGGAGCUUCGGACCUCACGCUUUCAGAUGAGCCUAUGUCGGAUUAGCUAGUUGGUGGGGUAAAGGCCUACCAAGGCGACGAUCCGUAACUGGUCUGAGAGGAUGAUCAGUCACACUGGAACUGAGACACGGUCCAGACUCCUACGGGAGGCAGCAGUGGGGAAUAUUGGACAAUGGGCGAAAGCCUGAUCCAGCAAUGCCGCGUGUGUGAAGAAGGUCUUCGGAUUGUAAAGCACUUUAAGUUGGGAGGAAGGGCAGUAAGCUAAUACCUUGCUGUAUUGACGUUACCAACAGAAUAAGCACCGGCUAACUUCGUG
rnacentral:rRNA from 1 species